GUUAUCUAUUGGUGACACUACCUAGCACAACCCAAUCUUCUCCAGGAUUAAAACCUACAGCCUUCUAAUAAAAGUCUUGUGUUGGACCUAUUGCGUUUACAGGCAGAGCUGGCUUGGUGGAAACGAUAUCAAAAGGCCCACUGAAACCAGAGAUUACAUUUUAUGGUGAUGAUGUAGUGUGACCAGUUGCAGAGUUUGUGCAUAAGACAGUUACAUAGAAUGAGUUUACAUUUUGUUGGAAUCCUUGUUGCAGAUAUACUUGGGUUACAGAUUUGCAGUAGCUGUCAGCAACCAAGAAACCAGUAGCCACUCAAAAUAAAAGACUCACAUGACCAGACAAGUUGGCAAGAUUAUAAAUCCAAGCAACGUGUGGCAAAGUUCAAGUCUGGAGAUAACGUUGGCAAAUCCUAGACAUUUUUAGAUUUAAGUUCAGUCAGUCAGUGUUAAAUUACGAUCCAUCCACCCUUUC